rnacentral:lncRNA from 10 species
CGGGAUCUCAGGCGCCUGUGGGCCGAGGCGGGGCGCGCAGCCUGUACCACAGCUUGCGCCACGGCGGACCCUGUGGCCAGGGGCCAAGUUUGCGCAAUAGGACGUCUAGCACCCCCAAAGUGAAGGGAAGUAACUCCAGAGAAACGGGAAGCUUCCCUGAAAGCAGAAUUCUUGUUAACCCUGUGAAGAUGGCUUCAGAUCAACUCACAGCUAAUUUGAUUUCAAGUAUAUACCUGGCCACUUCCUAUCUCCUCCAAUGGAUUGCUUUGAACGUGUGAAAUUAAAUAAUUCAAACUUAAAGCUGUUGGAACUUGAAAGUAUUCUGAGCCUUGAGAGCGAUGUCGCUGUGCAACCUGAGUCACAUGGCAUGCAGCUGCAACUUCUGCCUUUUUUCCUUUUUUAAAGGAAGAAAUUUGAUGAUUUGUCCUGUAUAAUUUCCCACAUUCUGUAUUUGGCUCAUUACAUCCUCAUGCUGAACACAGUAUUACCUAUGAGUGUCAACGAGGGUUUCCUUCAUAAUACGCAAAAACAGCCUCCAAUAAAGAAGCACUGUAGAGGGCAAGGCUGAUAUAGAAUGGCACAUGUCAUUCACAA